rnacentral:rRNA from 1 species
UACGUAGGUGGCGAGCGUUGUCCGGAAUUAUUGGGCGUAAAGGGCGCGUAGGCGGCUCUUUAAGUCAGAUGUGAAAACCCAGGGCUUAACUCUGGGAGUGCAUUUGAAACUGAAGAGCUCGAGUGCAGGAGAGGUAAGUGGAAUUCCUAGUGUAGCGGUGAAAUGCGUAGAUAUUAGGAGGAACACCAGUGGCGAAGGCGACUUACUGGACUGUAACUGACGCUGAGGCGCGAAAGCGUGGGGAGCAAACAGG